rnacentral:rRNA from 1 species
GAUGAACGCUAGCGGCAGGCUUAACACAUGCAAGUCGAACGCCCCUUUCGGGGGGAGUGGCAGACGGGUGAGUAACGCGUGGGAACGUGCCCAUCGGUUCGGGAUAACCCAGGGAAACUUGGGCUAAUACCGGAUACGACCGCGAGGUGAAAGAACUUCGCCGAUGGAUCGGCCCGCGUCUGAUUAGCUGGUUGGUAGGGUAACGGCCUACCAAGGCGACGAUCAGUAGCUGGUCUGAGAGGAUGAUCAGCCACACUGGGACUGAGACACGGCCCAGACUCCUACGGGAGGCAGCAGUGGGGAAUAUUGGACAAUGGGCGCAAGCCUGAUCCAGCCAUGCCGCGUGAGUGAUGAAGGCCCUAGGGUUGUAAAGCUCUUUCGCACGCGACGAUAAUGACGGUAGCGUGAGAAGAAGCCCCGGCUAACUUCGUGCCAGCAGCCGCCGUAAGAC